CAAUUUGGAAACCAUUUCAGACCAGGGGCAGCCCCAGAAACCCAGUCUAGCUCGGGAUAAAUUGAUAGUCAGUGGACGCUGCGUGUUGAACUAUAAGAACUUUUGUCCUCUGAGAACCAAAAAUCUACUUCUGGGAUGAAAAGCGCUCUCACUUCUGAUUUUCAGGACUGUGAGAGUUGGAUUCCUCUGUGAACAUCCGGAUCAGUGGGCACAGCUGCAUUUCAUUGGGAACAGAAGCACACAGAGAGCCCGGGGCAAGGUACACAGCUGGAUUCAGAGUCUCUAAGUUCCAGAUGUCCUGGCAAAGCAUCAAGGGGUUGCUAUGGAAGCUGCUCAUCCCAUCAUCGCUAGCCUUGGAAGGGACUUCUGGGCACCACAGGUCCUUAUCAUUCGCUUUGUGGGCAACGACUGCAUUACUUACAAAGAGAAAACAUUACAGAAAAUGAGAGACGAAGAAAAGAGAAAAGCAACAAGCAGAGGAAGUGAUCAA
rnacentral:lncRNA from 1 species